CUACCCGACACCUCCUCUUUCCCCUUCCAGCGCUGAGCUCCUCUCCCGUGCCCUAAGCCGACGCGCCACCAUCCCUCUUCCUCCCGCGAGCAUCCGGACGCCGACGCCCUAUCUUCCUCGCACACAGACCGUAGCCGCCGGCCUCUCCUCACGCGUAGGCACCAUCUUCACCGGCGGCCUCUCCUUCCUUCCCUCGCGCGAGCACACAACAGCCGGCGAUCCCUUCUCCUCAUCCCCGAGCCUCACCCACAAACGUCGCCGACCACCUCUACUCGACGUCAACCCCAGUGUGCCCUAGCACCGAUUGCCACCACACAGCCGCUGAUCCUCAUCUCGUCGAGUUGUGCCCUAGCUGAUUAGGACUUUGAUUCAAGUCGGGCGUCUCGACGAAAGAUUUCUGGAUUGGAUCUUCUAUUGAGGCGGG